UUUCAUGAUUUCUCUCUGUGUGUUCAAACUUGAAUUGGUUUCAUGUGUAUACAAAAUGCUGGAAUGUUGAAUACAUUAAGUGAAGUCUUUAAUAUAAGACAUCUUUUGCAUAUGUAGUUAUGUUGUAUUUGAAGUGAUCAUUAGUUACCGCUAUUUUCUUUAUAUUACUUCUUUAUCUUGUGAAAUAUGAAAUUCUCUGUAUUGUGAACUCUUGCUUCAGUCAGGGAGGUCUGAGCAGAGCGAAGAGGAGCAGGCAAGAUUGUACAACGAAUAAUUAGCUGCAUGUUUUCUACUUAUGCAGAUAAAAGAAAGUCUAUCGAACCAGCAGACUGACUCCAGUGUUUAUUUCACACUACACAACACAACGCAGAGGGGUAGCCAGGCUGUGAGAGUCGAGCCGGCUACAUAUGGAUAUAAAUUGGUCCCCCCCCAACAUUCAAGACAUGGUUACGGCCUUGUGUUAUACUGCGAAAUAUGUGGGGUGUUUCUGGACCUGGACCACGACGUACGCCACCAGAACCACCAGCAGCAUGAUGGGACUGAUGCCCAUCCAGCACACACGCCAGAACAGAUUGUGUCGUAUUGAGUGAGUUUACCGACCGGUUCAUCCCGUAGAAGAAGACGACGCCGAUGAUCUCGCAGAAGGCGAUGACGAGGAGCGGGACGGAGCCCACGUAACUGUUGAAGAUCUCCAGCCAGUAGUUGCCAGAUCCCAGCGUGAAGAUCAGCGCCACGAGGAAGUUCAGCACACAAAUCAGACCUGCAGCGAGAGCUCGUUAACGUUUAAUCAGAUUACUUUUUUCAACUAGCAAAGUAUGCAUUACUUUUUAAUUUAGAAGGAACUAUCUGAAUUACUUUUUCAAAUAAGUAACUCCAGUUACUUUGUAUCUCAUGUACUUUCUUCUCCUGCCUCAUAUUCUUCAUGUGAUUAGUUUGAGCUGCGCUCCUCUACACUGUAAAACCCGACAAGUUAGAGUAACUCAAACCGUUUGAUUAAACCAAUUCCACUUGGCUUAAACCAUGUCAAGUUUUAAAACUUGCAGUGAAGUAAUUAA